ACGGGAGGCAGCAGUGGGGAAUAUUGCACAAUGGGCGCAAGCCUGAUGCAGCGAUGCCGCGUGAGGGAAGACGGUUUUCGGAUUGUAAACCUCUGUCAUCGGGGACGAUAAUGACUGUACCCGAGAAGGAAGCUCCGGCUAGCUACGUGCCAGCAGCCGCGGUAAUACGUAGGUAGCGAGCGUUUUCCGGAAUUACUGGGUGUAAAGGGAGUGUAGGCGGGACUGUAAGUCAGAUGUGAAAUAUGCCGGCUCAACUGGCAGACUGCAGUUGAAACUGCGGUUCUUGAGUGAAGGAGAGGAAAGCGGAAUUCCUAGUGUAGCGGUGAAAUGCGUAGAUAUUAGGAGGAACAUCAGUGGCGAAGGCGGCUUACUGGGCGUUAACUGACGCUGAGGCUCGAAAGCGUGGGGAGCAAACAGGAUUAGAUACCCUGGUA
rnacentral:rRNA from 1 species